GUAAUCAUAAAGGUGUUGUAAUCUUUACAACUUCUCAUCCAAGGAUUUAAAAAUUUACUAACUUUUUUUUUAGUUUGGAAAAUUCUAGAUCUAAAACUAAAAGUAAUUGUAAUCCGUGCAACUCCUCGUCCAAUGAUGUUAAGAGUUUAUUAAUCUAUUUUUUUAGUGGGAAAAAAAAAUGUGAUAAGAUUAGUGAAGAAAAGAUAGCUAUUGAUCAAUCGAGAUUGUUGCAGCAUUAUAACCCAAAGUGGAUUGUAGACCGAACACUCCUCUUCUAGCUUUUAGUGAAAAAAGGAAAAAGAAUGAUAAAACUAGUAGAAAAAAAUGUGGUUUUAGAUAGUUGAGUUGUAGGAAACAUCCCACUUUGUGUUGUAGACCUGGCAUUACUCACUCUUGAGAGGCAUAGUUUGGUAAAAAUUUCGAAUGUAGAUCUUAUUAGACAUGUGAUGAUACCAAAUCAACUUACAUUUAUGGUUCAAUUAUUUAAUCAUAAUUUUUCUUACCAAAUUAAUUUCGUGGGUAUGUCGAUCCUAAGCCUUCUUAGUUGCAAGAGUUUCUUCGUUUGAUUCUCACGUUAGUUAUUAAUAUAAUGCAAGAAGCCAAAGUUUGGAUCCUCACAAAAUAAUAGGAAACUAUACCUGGUUCUUAUGCUAUGUGUUUGGCAUCGCUUUUGUAUCUACUUUCAACUAAAUAAUGCCUUGUAGAGUAUUUAGUAAGAAAAAGUGAUAGAGCUUUUAUGGAAUUAGGAGACUGAAAAGAAAUUCAAAUCCACAAAAGUAGGAUUAUAAUUUAGUAGAAUUGUUGCAAAGAUAAAUUAUUAGAGAAAUAUUUAUUUAGUAACAUUUGGGGAUGAUCAAUUUAGCCCCGCUAUAUAUAUACUUUUAUCCUUAGAUGUCUUGGGCUAGUGGGAUAGAUGGAAUAGUAUUUGAUCCAAGAAUUAGAAAGUUGGUAGCUAAUAGUUUAUCUACCAUUGAUAGUAUACAGAUGAACUCUCUCUCUCCCUCUCUCUCUCUAUAUAUAUUGAGAGAUAGAGAGUAUAACACUCUUUUCACCAACCGCAUCUAGUGCGGUUGGCUAAGAAUUCGAUGGUUGAUAUUCGAGAUUCUAAGUUCGAAGUUGGAUUACUUUGCAUUUUUCAUCUAAGUUGAUUUUAAAAAAAUGAACGGGAAAUAAACACAACAUGAGAAACACUGAAACGAAACUUACAUUUUUAGAACUCGGGAUCACUUUUCUAGAGUUGUUGUAGAUAAGUCUCACAGAUCUUUCUCGUUACCAGAUAUUCUUUAUAAAUUAUUAGUGUCCAAAAAUAAAAACAAAAUCACAGCCCAACAGACCUAAAAUCUCUUGUCUACAGUAGGCCCUAAUGAUACGUACAGCAGGCGAUAAUACUGUGUCUAUAUAUACCUGUGUCAGGAGCUUCUAUUUGAAACAUAAAACAACAUUUUGCUUCACUUUUUUAACCCAUUGGGCUAAACAUUUGUUUUGACUCCGAUUCUGCUGCAAUACUUAGUUUUCAUGUGAUAUCGUGCAAUUGAUCCGAAAUAACCAUACAAAUCAAUUUUAAUUCUUUCAUUAAAAAGAUUUCUAAUUUUUCACCAUACAUUAAUUAUCUCGUUCUUCAUGUGAUAUCAUGCAAUUGAUCCGAAAUAACCAUACAAGUCAAUUUUAAUUCUUUCAUAAAAAAGAUUUCUAAUUUUUCACCAAACAUUAAUUAUCUCGUUCUCAUCAUUCUGCUUUCCACUGGUAACAAUUUUCCUUUUUGACUUGUGAGAGAAAAGUGCGUAGCCCCGCUUCAGCUUCGUUCCUUUUUUAAAAAUGAACUCUAUUAAAAAUGUAAAGUAACUCAGGUUCGAACAUAGAAUGGUCAAUCGCGCUAAGCACGGUUGGUUACUGUAGCAAAUUUUUUAUACGGGCUUGAUUUUUAAUACCUUGAGAUAAGUAAAUUUAAUUUUUCUUUUCGAAUUAACAAGCUACAGGCCCAGUAAAAGUCAUUUUGUUUUGAGAGAUAUAUAUCGUUUUGAUUCAGCUCCAAAUUAAUUACAUGCAGUGCAACUAACAAAUAUCUAAUAAAGAAAACACAAGUGGUACGUACAGCUAAUUAAUAUUAAAAGCAAGCGAUCGAUAAGCUCGCAAUGAAAUGGACACAUAAACACCCCUCUACUUCAAGAUCAUGGAGCUUCUUAUCUGAUGGAUCUCUUAGUAGAUAAUGUCCUCGAUCUCCUUGAUCACGGAACGAGCACCGGAUUUGUAUGAUCAUAAGUGUGGAUACGUAUAACGCAUUUGAAUCACUCCCUGGAGCACAGAGAGGGGGAGAGAGAGAGACAGAGAGAGGCUACAAAAAUUUCACUGCCACAAUAUGUUAAGGUGGUAGGGCUCCUUUGAUCGAGUGUGUCCAACUUAGUGUAGCUUUCAAGUAGCUCUGCAAAUCCAAAGGGGCAACAUGUCUUGGUUGCUACAGGACACUCCCCCCCAUACUACCAUUGGAUCCUCUCUCUCUCUCUCUCUCUCUCUCUCUCUCUCUCUCUCUCUCUCUCUCUCUCUAUAUAUAUAUAUAUAUAGAUCUCUCUACAGAACAAGAAAUUAUUGCAUGCACCAUGGUGUACAAACUAGCUAGCUCGGGUCCCGAAAACUCCAGGCUAUAGGCCAUAAAAUGUAAAUCCAAACAGUUAGAUAUGCCAAAUAUAUAUAUAUAUAUAGAGAGAGAGAGAGAGAGGGGGAGAGAGAGAGAAAACAAGUAUUUUAUAACCGAAUUCUAAAUAGAACUAGAAUAGAAUACUAUUAAUAGCACUAAAUCAUUGAUAGAAUACUAUUAAUACCACUAAAUUAUUGAUGCGAUUAGAUUUUUAACUCUUGGAUGAAGAAAUGUGCGGUUAGGAUGAUAAUGAUUUUCUAACUGCACAUCCCUCCAUCGACUAUAAAAUGUAGAUCCAAACAGUUAGAUAUGUUAAAAAAAAUAUUAUUAUUAAUUACAAAACAAAAGAAGGUUUUGAAGAAUUAUGAACUUUGAGAUCUAUGUUUUGGAAGUGUUUUAGGUCACACCAAACGCUUUUUGCUAUUUUUUGAUAGAAAGAUUAAUUGCAAGCUGUCUAUUGGUUGGUCUUUUUUCUUUUUCUUUUUUUUUAAAAAGGAGCUUUGAUAAAAAUGUAAAAUAAUUAUUAGACUUCAAACUUAAAAUCUCGGAUACUGACAACCAAAUUUUUAACCAGUUGCGUUAGGUUUGAUCAGCAGUCCACUUUGAUUUAGAUUUUAAGACCUCCGGCUAAACUGAAGUUUUGUUGACUUUUGGUGUAUACACAAUGGUGCAUGCAAUCUUUAAAAGAUGCUCUCUUUCCUUCCCCGUCUCUCUCGCUGAACCAACCACACACUCAGUCCUAAAAAAUCAUUAUAAUCCUAAUUGUACAUCCCUUCAUCGAAGGGUCAAAAAUUUAAUAGCACCAAUGACUCGGUGUUGUUAAUAGUAUUCUAGUCUAGCUCUAUGUAUAUAUAGAGGAUUGAUCUUCUAUACUUUUAAAAAUACCAAAACUAUAUAUAUAUAUUUAUAUACUAAUUAUGAAUGAAAUUGUGAUACCUCAGGUAGUUCUAUAUAUAAGAUAUAAUAAGACUAAGCCUCUUAACCCGACUAUAACAUUUUUAGGUCCAAAAGGUUAAGAAAGUUAAGCGUGUUAGGAUUAAAAUAAUCCUAGAAUAGGUGACUCUCUAGAAAGUUGGGGCGUCACAGUUGAUAUUAAAGCCAAUUACCAGCCGGAAGUAUGAGAUGAGCCUCAGUUGUACUAGAUUAUACAUAGGGAAGAGGGAGAUUCUCGUGCUGAUGAGAGUUAUAGGUAGAACGUGGUUUUUCCAUAAAAUCUGUUAAGGCUAGCGAGACGAGUCUCACAUCAUAACCUGAUUUUUAUGAGUCUGAAACUGAUGAGGAUCUCAGAGCUUAAAAGGAGGGAGAAUAUAAAUAUAAUAAGACUAAAUCUCUUUACCCGAAUAUAGUAUUUUGGACCGUUGUUAGGCCUAAAAAAUUAAAAAAAUUAAGCGUGCGAGGGCUAAAAUAAUUUUAGAAUUGAUGACUCUUUGAAAAGUUGGGACUUCACGGAAAUGUACAUAAGUAGGAAUGUCGGUGGUAGCAUGAAGAAUUGAGCAAUUAAUAAAUAGCCAAAAAACAAAUUCCGCCAUGAACAGUAAAUUUGUUGAAAGGUCACUAAAAGGUACGCACUUUAUUUUAAGAAUUGGGUAUUAAAGAAGAAAAGAAUCCCCAGGCAUUAAUUUCUUUGUGUUCGGUAAUUAUUCUCUUCUUCCUAGGUUUCUCAACUAGCUAGGAAAUAUUUUAAUAAAAAAAGAAUAAUAAAAAUUAAAGAAAAUUAAAUUGAGUUUCUCUCAUAUUUUAGCCAUCAAUUCCACUUCAAAUUCCAUUAAAUUUGCUCUAAAAGAAUGUUGAACGUUGACACAUCUUGGACAAGUACAGAGUUCGAAUGAGUUUUAUAUUCUCUUUAUGAGUAACGAGGAGAUCGAAUGUUGUGGUCAUAUCGAUUUUUCUGCACUUAAAAGCCUGCUUAAAAAGUGGAAAAAAGUGGAGAACUAAAACAUUUUUUAUAGGAAAAAAAAAAUCUCAAUUAUAUAACAUUUAAUAAAAAAGCAAUAUACACAUAUAUUUGAUAUCACACCAAAACAUUAUCUUACAAGUGUAUUUGGUUCGCGUUAUUUUUUUAGAUUUUUACUAACUUAAUAGGAAGAAAAAUAAUAUGACAACAUUUGGUUAAAUAUAUCAAAAUAUUUUAAUCGACAAUGAUGGAUUCCUUUUGGAAAUAAGGUUCAAUUAAACCAAAAUAAUAAUCCCCUUUUUUUUUUUUGGGAGAUAGCACUUUUAUAUUAAUUGAUUAAGAUAAUUAUAAAUUGUCUAAUUCGACCCACACUCUUUUUCUUUCUCUCCGUCCAAAAGCCAUUUGCUAAAUUGUCCAUUACUCACUUUUUCCUUUACUCUCUAAUCUCAUCUUUCUCCUCUCUCACCUCAUCUCUCCGUCAGUUCUACGCGCUUCAAAUCUAUCUCUCUCUCUCUCUCUCUCAUUUCAAUUCUCUCUCCUUUUAAUUUCAAAUCUCUCCCUGUCACUCCCUAUUUCUCUCUUUCUAAACUAAGUUCCUCCAAUUUGACAUAAAAACAAAUUUCUUAUAACUGUUGAAAAGAAAAAAGAAAAAGGUGCUCAUAUUACCGCUAACAUUUUCUAAAAUUAAUUGACAAAACGAUAUAUGAAUUUUAUUUUCUCAAUAAUCUCAAAUAAUAUGGCUGUGCAAAACAUUGAAUUAUACAUUUUCAAUAAUAGAAUAAGUAGCAAUUAAAUUCUUGAAAAUCUCUUCAUUCUUGAUAAUCUUUUACAGCGCAAAAUAAAUACACUCUAAAAAUUUUCUGGAUCUGUAUUUUGUAUAUGACAAUUACAAAGAUGAUAUAGUUUUUCAAAUUUUACUUAUAAUAAUAACCAACAAAUCAUCAAACAUAACAUUAAGGGUGCGUUUGGUUCGCAUUAUAAAAGAUUAUUAGGAAUAAAAGAUAUCCGAGAAUCUUAUUACUAUUCAUCCUAUUACUAAGAAUGUGAAAUUCCUGUGUUUGGUUCACACGGUAAUAUUAAUUAGCCAUGUUAUUUAAUAUUACAAAUAUUAUACAAUUAAUUUAUUUAUUUAUUUAUUUAAUUUUAGAUAAUGUUACCAAAAGUUUCAACAUCUUUUUAGAAAAAAGGGAGAGAGAGUAUAAGUUAGAGAGAGAGAGCAUAAUUAAAAAAAUAAAAAGAAAAUAUAGUCGAAAUUAGAGAGAGUGAGAGAGUUGAAAUUUUAGAAAGAGAGAGAGAGAGAAAGCUUCGUUUAGAGAGAGAAAAAAAGUUGAAUUUUAGAGAGAAAAAUAAAUUUAGAGAGAGAUAUAAGGUUAGAGUGUAAAGAAAAAUAAUAUCAAUUAGCCGGCGAGUAGGAAGAAAGAAAAAGAUUAGACAUAUUAUGAUUAUCCCAAUCCAUUAAUAUGAAGAUACCCACCCUCCCUCAAGGGAAUGAAAUAAGUACUUUUGGGUGAAUCUUAUUCCCAAGUAAAUCUAAUAUUACCAACUAGAUUACUUAGUGCGUUUAGCCAAACACCGUCAUAUUUUUUUAUUCCCAUUGGAUUACUAGAAAUCUUUAAAAGAUAGCACGAAUCAAACGCACCCUAAGACAAAUUAUAUAGAUCAUCACUAAUAGUGUGUACAUUUA
rnacentral:lncRNA from 1 species